GGCAAAGCAAGAUUUUUUGAACCCCUGAAGUCGAGACCUCUCACGAACCCCGCUGUCUUUCUUAUUUUCCUUUAUAGGAGGAUUUUAGAACUGCAUCCACAUCUCAUAAACAAGCAGUCCUGAAAACGAUGCUAAUAGACUCAGUUUACUUCAGGCCCUCUUUUCAAACGUGCUUUCAAGUGCAACCCAUUUCCCAAAUGGCACCGAGGAUUUACGUUGUGCGUAGAUCAAUGCAGCACCAGCACGUAGGAACUGAGAGUGGACAAACUGGGCUGUGAGUCACCCCGCCCCUGCCCCCCGAAGUGACAGGACUGCCAGGGGUGACUUCUCUGAUAGAGGCCCCUGCCUUUCCCCUGUGACCCUGGCUAUCACUUCCUCUUUCAGGCCUUAAAAAGGUAUUGAAUAUUGCUUGUCUGAAUAGAGAAAAAUUACUGCCUGGUCAGGCGGGGAAGGCCGACUGGUGUCUUUUAAUACCAAGAGGAUACAUCUCUAGCAGGAAGCCGUCCGCUCUGGAAGCCGCUCAUCUUGGUUUAACAAAAAACAAACAAACAAACAAACAAACAAAACCUAAGAGUCUCAAAGGGGUUUUCCUCAGGCCCAGGGACAUCCCAUCUUAAGAAAUACUCCUGGUGCCCAGCCCUUUGCCUGGUACACAGUUGUUACUUCCAGACAAAAUAGACGGAUUCAGCCGGAAUUUUUUCACUUUUCCAAAAACUACCACUGCAGGGUUCCUUGAAAUUGCCAACCCCCACAGACAUUUAAAACGUGCUUUGAUUUCUUGGAAUUGGAGGUGCAGGGCUGGUCAGGGCCGCGACGGAUUCGGAAAAGGGAGCUGCUAGUGCCGAGUUCCCACUGCCUGGGCGGCUAUUGGCUGCUGUCCUACCACCAGCCCGGAAUGCACACCAGCGGGCUGCUCUCCCCACUUUAUCACAAAGGGGCUCAUUUUGUGAAUGAACCGCACAGCCAGCAGCGCAGCACUAUUCCCGGUGACCUUUGCCCGGGGAUUGGAUUCCCUCCCAGCGGGGAGAUCAGGCCUUAGGAAAAGAGUCUGUGUGGAAAACAGGCAAUCUCAAAAAUGGUGGAACAUGAGCUCUGGAGACAAGGUCUCAAAAGCCAUUCAAACUUCUGCCUUGGUUUCAAGGACCGCUUCCUCCGGGUAAAGCCAGCGCUGAGGAUACCAAACCGGAAGUAUGCAAACCGGAAGUAUGGAAACAUCCAUGCAUGCCGCUAUCUUGCUAAUAUCCGCCAUUGCGUUGGCAGUGAAGGAUGUUACACUGUGGAAGUGGAUCCUCCACCUGCAUCAAGCCUUCAGGAGAACUUUUUUUGUGGGCUGGUAACACUUCAUAGUGAGGAAAAGCACUUGCCACCAAGACUAAAGACCAGAGUUCAAGGCCUGGAACCCACAUGAGAGGAGAGAACUGGCCCUUAGAAAGCAUCCUCUGGGGGCGAUUUAAGAGCACUGACUGCUCUUACAGAGUUCAAUUCCCAGCAACCACAUGGUGUCUCACAACCAUCUGUAAUGUGAUCCAAUGCUCUCUUCUGGUGUGUCUGAAGACAGUGACAGUGUACUCAUAUACAUAAAGUAAAUAAAUCUUUGAAAGAAAGAAAUCAUUCUCUGUCCCCCCACCUGCAUUCCCCCCAAUAAACCAUUUAAUGUUAAAAAAUUAAUAAUAUUACUUAUAAGUAAAAGAUGCAAGCAAGAGGACUGCAUGUCCCUUACACUGCAGGAAAUUGUCUAGAGAUGAUACGCAGGGAAUGUAGUACUCAGAGAACAGUCACCACAUACCACUAACCCAGCACAAUCCUUGCGUUUUUACAAUGUUUUCUUUUCAAAGUUAAUUAUACUUUUUGAAAUUUUGCUUUCCCUGACAGAACAGUUCAGUUGUCUUUGCAAUGCACACGAAUUGUAGAACGGCUCCUUUAACCUAACUGGCAGGGCUUUACUUCCUGUGAUUAUCAUUUUCGUGGUAAGAAUACGGAAAACCUAUUUCCUACUCUUCUCCAUACUGCACAGCAAAUAUCUUAAAAUUUAUACAUUCUCUGGAAUGUUGCAUCAUUUGGCUGAGGCCUCCUCAACUAGUUCUUCUUGCCCCUGCUAAGCCCCAUUCUGUUCUCCGUGUCUGUGAGUCCGGUUUUAGAUUCUGUGUAUAAAUGAUGCCCUUACAAUACUUCUCUUUCUAUUCCCGGCUUCUUGCACUUGAUGUAAUGUCCCAGUGUCCACACAGGCUGUUGCCAGUGACAUGUUCUUCCUUUUAAAGGCUGGUGAUUAUUCAUUGGUGAGAAUAUGCCUUAGUUCCUCUCCUGAUGAACGCGUCCGUUGAUUAAUCUGAACAAUGCUGCAAUUAUCAUUCCAUUGCAUAUGUGUACUUUCUUAAUAGCUAAACAAACAAACAAACAAACAAACAACAACUGGGACCCCCAGCCUCCUAAUUGCCACUCUUCUACUGAGCACACAUACUGAGCACACAUACUGAGCACACAUACUGAGCACACAUACUGAGCACACAUACUGAGCACGCACACUGAGCACGCACACUGAGCACGCACACUGAGCACGCACACUGAGCACGCACACUGAGCACGCACACUGAGCACGCACACUGAGCACGCACACUGAGCACGCACACUGAGCACA